rnacentral:rRNA from 1 species
UACGUAGGGUGCGAGCGUUAAUCGGAAUUACUGGGCGUAAAGCGUGCGCAGGCGGUUUUGUAAGACAGGUGUGAAAUCCCCGGGCUUAACCUGGGAACUGCGCUUGUGACUGCAAGACUCGAGUACGGCAGAGGGGGGUAGAAUUCCACGUGUAGCAGUGAAAUGCGUAGAUAUCAGGAGGAAUACCGAUGGCGAAGGCAGGUCUCUGGGCUGACACCGACGCUCAUGCACGAAAGCGUGGGGAGCAAACAGG